UCCUUGCUAUUGAAUCUAAAAAUGCAGUAUCCCUCAGCAUGCAACAGAAUCUGAGGCUUGGAUACAAAGUUCCAAGCAUGCAGCACAAAAUUCUCUAUCGAUUGAACAUUAGGAUUAUCACCAAUAACAUAUCCUAUUAAAGCAUUUGCCCAGUAAUCUACCUGGGACUGUAGAUCUUCUACACUGAGUUUUACCACUUUUUGUCCAUCUCUUUCAAUCGGAGGCAUAAAUGAAAGAGGCUUACCCAUCUGUGCAUUCCUAUUACCUCUGACAACUUCAGCAGCUGUUCGAAGUGAUUUUGCAGGCUCACUUACUUCAGAAAACU
rnacentral:lncRNA from 1 species